rnacentral:rRNA from 1 species
UACGUAGGGGCCUAGCGUUGUCCGGAUUUAUUGGGCGUAAAGAGCUCGUAGGCGGUUCGGCAAGUCGGAUGUGAAAUCUCCACGCUUAACGUGGAGGGGCCAUUCGAAACUGCCGUGACUCGAGUCCGGUAGGGGAGUGUGGAAUUCCCGGUGUAGCAGUGAAAUGCGUAGAGAUCGGGAGGAACAUCCGUGGCGAAGGCGACUACCUGGACCAGCACUGACACUGAGGCACGAAAGCGUGGGGAGCAAACAGG